AUGAAGAGAGGAUGGACUGGAAAUGAGGAAUGCCACUUUUGUGGUGGCAAAGAGAAUAUUGAUCGCCUGAUGUUCCAAUGUAGUUUGUCCAGAUACGUAUGGCAAGUGAUGAUUUGUGCCUUUGAUUUGUCUAGACCUCCUGAUGGAGUGGCCGACAUGCUUGGCGAUUGGACCAGAUCCUUCCCUAGAAGUCAAAGGCGUCUGGUGCUUAUUGGGGUGGCGAUUUGUUGGAUUUUGUGGAAAACUAAAAAUAGAGCUUGUUUUGAUAAAAUAUUCCCUGAUGAUCCUUCUUCUAUGGUUUUCAAACUCUGCUCUUUGUUGACAUCUUGGAGUAUAUUGCAGAAACCCAAGAUAGAAGCGUAA
rnacentral:rRNA from 1 species